rnacentral:rRNA from 1 species
UACGAAGGGGGCUAGCGUUGUUCGGAAUUACUGGGCGUAAAGCGCACGUAGGCGGAUAUUUAAGUCAGGGGUGAAAUCCCAGAGCUCAACUCUGGAACUGCCUUUGAUACUGGGUAUCUUGAGUAUGGAAGAGGUAAGUGGAAUUGCGAGUGUAGAGGUGAAAUUCGUAGAUAUUCGCAGGAACACCAGUGGCGAAGGCGGAGCUU